rnacentral:rRNA from 1 species
AGUACAGUGGCGUACGGGUGAGUAACACGUGGAUGAUCUACCCUGGAGUGGGGAAUAACGCUGGGAAACCGGCGCUAAUACCGCAUAAUCCCGAGAGGGCAAAGGAAGCAAUUUCGCUUCAGGAGGAGUCCGCGGCCGAUUAGCUAGUUGGCAGGGUAAAAGCCUACCAAGGCAACGAUCGGUAGCCGGCCUGAGAGGGCACACGGCCACACUGGCACUGAAACACGGGCCAG